UCAAGAAACUUAAAGGAAGUUACGACGGGGGCCCGCACAAGCGGAGGAGCAUGUGGUUUAAUUCGAUGAUACGCGAGGAACCUUACCUGGGCUCGAACGUAAGAUGACUGUAGGUGAAAGCUUACAUCUCUUCGGAGCAUUUUACGAGGUGCUGCAUGGUUGUCGUCAGCUCGUGCCGUGAGGUGUCGGGUUAAGUCCCAUAACGAGCGCAACCCUACCUUUAGUUGCCAUCAGGUAAUGCUGGGGACUCUAAAGGAACUGCCUACGCAAGUAGUGAGGAAGGCGGGGAUGACGUCAAAUCAGCACGGCCCUUACGUCCAGGGCUACACACGUGCUACAAUGGCCGAUACAGAGGGCAGCUACCUGGUGACAGGAUGCAAAUCUCCAAAGUCGGUCUCAGUUCGGAUCGGAGUCUGCAACCCGACUCCGUGAAGUUGGAUUCGCUAGUAAUCGCGCAUCAGCCAUGGCGCGGUGAAUACGUUCCCGGGCCUU
rnacentral:rRNA from 1 species